GCCAGACUCCUACGGGAGGCAGCAGUGGGGAAUAUUGCACAAUGGGGGGAACCCUGAUGCAGCGACGCCGCGUGGGCGAGGAAGUAUUUCGGUAUGUAAAGCCCUAUCGGCAGGGAAGAAGAAAUGACGGUACCUGAAUAAGAAGCACCGGCUAAAUACGUGCCAGCAGCCGCGGUAAUACGUAUGGUGCAAGCGUUAUCCGGAUUUACUGGGCGUAAAGGGGGCGCAGACGGCGAUGCAAGCCAGGAGUGAAAGCCCGGGGCUCAACCCCGGGACUGCAUUUGGAACUGUGUGGCUGGAGUGUCGGAGAGGCAGGCGGAAUUCCUAGUGUAGCGGUGAAAUGCGUAGAUAUUAGGAGGAACACCAGUGGCGAAGGCGGCCUGCUGGACGAUGACUGACGUUGAGGCUCGAAAGCGUGGGGAGCAAACAGGAUUAGAUACCCCAGUA
rnacentral:rRNA from 1 species